AGAGACCUCACAGACAAGGACACGACCAGACAACACCCAACUGAGGAACACCAGAAAGCUGGACCAGGACAAAUUGAGCCUGGCUGUUGGCUGCA
rnacentral:lncRNA from 1 species